rnacentral:rRNA from 1 species
CGCUGGCGGCACGCCUAACACAUGCAAGUCGAACGAAGUAGCAAUACUUAGUGGCAGACGGGUGAGUAACAUGUAGGUAUCUACCCUUUGGCCUGGAAUAACACGAGGAAACUUGUGCUAAUACCGGAUAAGUCUUUACGGAGAAAGCUUUAUGCACCAUUGGAUGAGCCUGCACUUGAUUAGUUUGUUGGUAGGGUAAUGGCCUACCAAGACUGUGAUCAAUAGCUGAUUUGAGAGGAUGAUCAGCCACAUUGGGACUGAGACACGGCCCAAACUCCUACGGGAGGCAGCAGUGGGGAAUCUUGCACAAUGGAGGAAACUCUGAUGCAGCGAUGCCGCGUGAGUGAAGAAGGCCCUUGGGUUGUAAAGCUCUUUCGUCGGGGAAGAAAAUGACUGUACCCGAAUAAGAAGGUCCGGCUAACUUCGUGCCAGCAGCCGCGGUAAUACGAAGGGACCUAGCGUAGUUCGGAAUUACUGGGCUUAAAGAGUUCGUAGGUGGUUGAAAAAGUUGGUGGUGAAAUCCCAGAGCUUAACUCUGGAACUGCCAUCAAAACUUUUCAGCUAGAGUUUGAUAGAGGAAAGCAGAAUUUCUAGUGUAGAGGUGAAAUUCGUAGAUAUUAGAAAGAAUACCAAUUGCGAAGGCAGCUUUCUGGAUCAUUACUGACACUGAGGAACGAAAGCAUGGGUAGCGAAGAGGAUUAGAUACCCUCGUAGUCCAUGCCGUAAACGAUGUGUGUUAGACGUUGGAAAUUUAUUUUCAGUGUCGCAGCGAAAGCAAUAAACACACCGCCUGGGGAGUACGACCGC